rnacentral:rRNA from 1 species
AUAAUAUAUUUGAGAGGCAUCUCUUGAAUAUCAAAGGUGAGCCAGUACAGGAUGGACCCGCGUCUGAUUAGCUAGUUGGUAAGGUAACGGCUUACCAAGGCGACGAUCAGUAGCCGACCUGAGAGGGUGAUCGGCCACAUUGGAACUGAGACACGGUCCAAACUCCUACGGGAGGCAGCAGUGGGGAAUAUUGCACAAUGGGCGAAAGCCUGAUGCAGCAACGCCGCGUGAGUGAUGAAGGCCUUCGGGUCGUAAAACUCUGUCCUCAAGGAAGAUAAUGACGGUACUUGAGGAGGAAGCCCCGGCUAACUACGUGCCAGCAGCCGCGGUAAUACGUAGGGGGCUAGCGUUAUCCGGAUUUACUGGGCGUAAAGGGUGCGUAGGCGGUCUUUCAAGUCAGGAGUGAAAGGCUACGGCUCAACCGUAGUAAGCUCUUGAAACUGGGAGACUUGAGUGCAGGAGAGGAGAGUGGAAUUCCUAGUGUAGCGGUGAAAUGCGUAGAUAUUAGGAGGAACACCAGUUGCGAAGGCGGCUCUCUGGACUGUAACUGACGCUGAGGCACGAAAGCGUGGGGAGCAAACAGGAUUAGAUACCCUGGUAGUCCACGCUGUAAACGAUGAGUAC